GAUGAACGCUGGCGGCGUGCCUAAUACAUGCAAGUCGAGCGAACAGACGAGGAGCUUGCUCCUCUGACGUUAGCGGCGGACGGGUGAGUAACACGUGGAUAACCUACCUAUAAGACUGGGAUAACUUCGGGAAACCGGAUCUAAUACCGGAUAAUAUAUUGAACCGCAUGGUUCAAUAGUGAAAGACGGUUUUUGUGUCACUUAUAGAUGGUUCCGCGCCGCAUUAGCUAGUUGGUACGGUAACGGCUUACCAAGGCGACGAUGCGUAGCCGACCUGAGAGGGUGAUAGGCCACACUGGAACGGAGACGCGGUCCAGACUCCUAAGGGAGGCAGCAGUAGGGAAUCUUACGCAAUGGGCGAAAGCCUGACGGAGCAACGCCGCGUGAGUGAUGAAGGUCUUCGGAGCGUAAAACUCUGUUAUUAGGGAAGAACAAAUGUGUAAGUAACUAUGCACGGCUUGACGGUACCUAAUCAGAAAGCCACGGCUAACUACGUG
rnacentral:rRNA from 1 species